UGUUCUCUCCGAAGUCGGUUCCAGAUUUUAACAGCAGUCGAGGCGUUAUACCCACUUUAUCUAUGUAAUCGCAAUCGGGAAUAUCCGCCCUUGAUUUUACGGGACUAGUAGAAUAAUAUAAGGGUAUUCUUCUUCUGCUCCCGGAAAAAAACGGCGGAUAUUCCCGAUUGCAAAUACAGUUAUGGUGGUUAUAUAGUGCAGUCCUGCAUCGUCUUGCGAUGAAUAGAUAUAUUUCUUUAUUCUCAUGAAAAUCCUGCUAAAGUGAAUGGAAUAUACAUAACAUCUCAGAGACCUUAUCUUGACAAGGUAUAAAAGGCAAGCGCUGUAUAUACAUGGGUCCGAUUCACUUGGGAACUCGGUGAUUCAGAAGAAACUGAUUGGAUGUGCUGCAAUUCGGCUUUUGGCGUUAUCAACAAAAAACAAAUUCGUUAACGAAUCCCUCAAAUGGAACAUUUAUACUGUCGCCAAUAAAAGCUUUAAUUUUGCUCAGUGCA